UACGAAGGGGGCUAGCGUUGCUCGGAAUCACUGGGCGUAAAGCGCACGUAGGCGGAUUGCUAAGUCAGGGGUGAAAUCCUGGAGCUCAACUCCAGAACUGCCUUUGAUACUGUCAACCUUGAGUCCGGGAGAGGUGAGUGGAACUGCGAGUGUAGAGGUGAAAUUCGUAGAUAUUCGCAAGAACACCAGUGGCGAAGGCGGCUCACUGGCCCGGUACUGACGCUGAGGUGCGAAAGCGUGGGGAGCAAACAGG
rnacentral:rRNA from 1 species